ensembl:lncRNA
AACUCUUGGAUCUGGGUUGCUUGCUGAGGAGUGCUGCACAGUCAGGAGCCUCUUCACCAGCUGGAGAUGUGAGAUAGAUCCCUGGUUGACUCUACUCGCACCCUGCCUGCUUGGACUUAUGCUGGUCGUCAAAAUGAAAAAGCCUGGGGAAACCAGUGAAUUGUGAACGUGAGAGGCAGCUCCUCCAGACUUCUCUGCAAAGAAAGACCUGAGGUGCCCUGCAGGCUGCACUGAAAUCACUGGGUGCUGUGAGCAAUCACCAUCCUUUGAAAAGUCUGAAACUGAGCAUUCUGAGUAGAAUUCUGCAUUUUGCCAGAUCCUGCUGGGAAACAGCUGUGUUUAUACUUUGCACAUCUGUCAGAGCAGGCUGCUGAGAUCUCCAGAUCUGAGGACUGUCCCAGCUGAUUUAGCUCCUGGACACCUUUCAGGCCUCUGAGCUCCCGAAUAAUGAAAAUACAUCAUCUGAGUUUAUUUUUACUGUGAGGAACAUUGAUGCUGAAUAGACAACACUCCUGCACUUCUGAUGGUCUAUUAGCACAUAGUCCCCAGUGAUUACCUUCUAGAUCAUAAUGUACCUCUGUGAAAGAGGCUCAGAUAGCACCAUCCCAUCUCCGUGCCCAGCGGUACUUCUCCCAGCUUGCAGCUUGGAGGAAAAAUCCCCUGAAGUCAUACUGCGUGUUAUGGAUCAGCUGGAAUGAGCAAUGGUUAAGAGCUUCUGUCAUGGAUUCCUGCUUAUGAAUAGAUAAAACAGUGUACUGAAAGCUGCUGGGCAAAACUGUUGUGCUGAAUCCUUGGCAAGUUUCAGAAAGACAAACGUGAUGUUGUCAGACCAUCACCCAGUACAGCUGCAGUCACUCAACAGGCCAAAAGCAAGAUCCUGAUCUUGGGCAUCUCAGAGCACCCUGUAUGGCUGCAAGUAUCUGCCACUUCUAAGCAGAGGCCCUGUAUGACUCCAAAGGUUUCCUGAGCUCAAGCAGUUAUGGAUGCCAGCUGGAGCUCUGAAGAGGUAUUUCUCUGAAUCAGCCUGGCCAAAUGCAAAUAAGUCACAAGCCUGUCUCCCAAGCCCAGCUUUAAGGCAGCCUCCACAAAUCACCAGCCUCUCACCACCGGAGCAUGGCUUGCUUGUCCCUUGCACAGAGCUCAGCACAUAGCCUUUUACUGCUGAAUUUCUGCUAUCAGUCUCUGCCUCUAAAAGCAACUGCAGGUGCAAGCCAGUGUCCCUAGGGCACCAUCAGCUUUGCUGCCAUGAGCAGCCUUACCUGGGGCUCACCCACACCUGCUGGCUCUAAUUAAGAUCAGCCCUGGGCAUCUAGAACCUUCUUAGAGCUGUUGUGCUGCUGCUUCUCUAGACAUGUCUCUUGUAUGGACCUCAGCCAAGCCAAUGAUGUAAGUCUCUUUUCUUUAAGCUUGUCUUUGUCCUGUAGGUGGUAUCUCUGGUUGAUGUGGUUUUGCCUGUGGUCCUAUCUCCUCAGUGGUUGGCCUCUGAUCUCCUGUAUCCCCAUUAACUGGCUUACCUAGCUUUCAUCAAAGCAUUUUGGCACAAAGGUUGUCUUUCUUACUGGUAGUAACCCCCCUGCUUUAGCAAUAAA